rnacentral:rRNA from 1 species
GACGAACGCUGGCGGCGUGCUUAACACAUGCAAGUCGAACGGAAAGGCCUGCUUUCCCUUGUGGAUUGCGGGUACUCGAGUGGCGAACGGGUGAGUAACACGUGAGUGAUCUGCCCCCAACUUGGGUAUAAGCCUGGGAAACUGGGUCUAAUUCCCGAUAGGACUGCAGGGUGGUGCCUGUGGUGGAAAACGAUUUUCUAGUGGUUGGGGAUGAGCUCGCGGCCUAUCAGCUUGUUGGUGGGGUAAUGGCCUACCAAGGCGGCGACGGGUAGCCGGCCUGAGAGGGUGGACGGCCACAUUGGGACUGAGAUACGGUCCAGACUCCUACGGGAGGCAGCAGUGGGGAAUAUUGCACAAUGGGCGGAAGCCUGAUGCAGUGACGCCGCGUGGGGGAUGACGGCCUUCGGGUUGUAAACUCCUUUCGACCGCGAGGAAGCCACCUGGUUGGAAGGGUGGUGACGGUAGUGGUAGAAGAAGCACCGGCUAACUACGUG